GCUGGAAUAGCUUAGUUGGUUAGAGUGUGUGGCUGUUAACCCACAAGGUCGAAGGUUCAAGCCCUCCUUCUAGCA
rnacentral:tRNA from 1 species